rnacentral:lncRNA from 1 species
AACACAGGUCUGUGUUGGAGUUGGGUUUUCUUUCUACUAAAACUGGACUCAGCCCAGUACACCUUCCUGAAACCUCCCAUGCACAGCCUCCACUGCUUAUGUUAAUGAAAAAAAAGGUGCUGAACUCACUGGCUAAAAGGAAUUUAAUGGGGGUUUGUGAUUCCUCUUAAAUGUCAGCGUAUGUGGGUGUAGCCCUGUGAAUAGAAGACAAACUGUGUUUCAGUUUUGUUUUGGCCAACCACAUCCUGUGGUUCACUCUGUCUCGCUAACAGGAAAACAGCAGCUACUUCAACCAUGAAAGAGUGAAUAACUGCUGAUUGUUGACCGGUUAACCCUGCGGUAUGAUAGGAAACUCCAGUCUGCUGGCUGCAGUCCUGACUGUCGUGUCAGUGGUGUCACUGAGUCUUCUGCUUCUUUUCUGCCUGCGAUGCAAAAGGAAAUCCAAGAUCAUUCACGAGGAGCAUCAAAUAUACAACCCACAGACAUUCCAACGCGAGGGAAGUAUGUUUGCUGUGACACGAUCAAAAACAGUGACCAGAGCCAACCAGAUAACUCCAACGACAAUGUAUGUAUACUACAACACACAUCAGCUAAACUCCUUUUAUCACAAUGCUGCUAGUCUGUGA